UACAGGGGGGCAAGCGUUGUUCGGAAUUACUGGCGUAAAGGGUCAGUAGGCGGCCAACUAAGUCCGACGUGAAAUCCCAAGGCUUAACUUUGGAACUGCGUCGGAUACUGGAUGGCUUGAAUUCGGGAGAGGGAUGCAGAAUUCCAGGUGUAGCGGUGAAAUGCGUAGAUAUCUGGAGGAAUACCGGUGGCGAAGGCGGCAUCCUGGACCGACAUUGACGCUGAACGACGAAAGCUAGGGGAG
rnacentral:rRNA from 1 species